rnacentral:rRNA from 1 species
GCUCGUAGUUGGAUUUCUGUUGUAUUUUUAUAAUAUUAUUAAGGUAAUAUUUAUAAUAUCAACAUCCUUCCUGUUAUAUUUUUAAUAUAUAGGAAAUUUUACUUUGAGAAAAUUAGAGUGCUUAAAGCAGGCAACUGCCUUGAAUACUCCAGCAUGGAAUAAUAAGUAAGGACUUUUGUCUUUCUUGUUGGUUCUAGGAUAAAAGUAAUGGUUAAUAGGNACAGUUGGGGGCAUU